UGCAGGUCGAGCGGCAGCGCGGGGGCAACCCUGGCGGCGAGCGGCGAACGGGUGAGUAAUGUAUCGGAACGUACCCAGUCGUGGGGGAUAACUAUCCGAAAGGAUAGCUAAUACCGCAUACGUCCUGAGGGAGAAAGCGGGGGAUCGCAAGACCUCGCGCGAUUGGAGCGGCCGAUAUCGGAUUAGCUAGUUGGUGAGGUAAAGGCUCACCAAGGCGACGAUCCGUAGCUGGUCUGAGAGGACGACCAGCCACACUGGAACUGAGACACGGUCCAGACUCCUACGGGAGGCAGCAGUGGGGAAUUUUGGACAAUGGGGGCAACCCUGAUCCAGCCAUUCCGCGUGAGUGAAGAAGGCCUUCGGGUUGUAAAGCUCUUUCAGCAGGAACGAAACGGUGGCCCCUAAUACGGGCUACUAAUGACGGUACCUGAAGAAGAAGCACCGGCUAACUACGUGCCAGCAGCCGCGGUAAUACGUAGGGUGCGAGCGUUAAUCGGAAUUACUGGGCGUAAAGCGUGCGCAGGCGGUUCUAUAAGACAGAUGUGAAAUCCCCGGGCUUAACCUGGGAACUGCGUUUGUGACUGUAGGACUUGAGUGUGGCAGAGGGGGGUGGAAUUCCACGUGUAGCAGUGAAAUGCGUAGAGAUGUGGAGGAACACCGAUGG
rnacentral:rRNA from 1 species